rnacentral:rRNA from 1 species
AUUGAACGCUGGCGGCAGGCCUAACACAUGCAAGUCGAACGGUAACAGGAAGCAGCUUGCUGCUUUGCUGACGAGUGGCGGACGGGUGAGUAAUGUCUGGGAAACUGCCCGAUGGAGGGGGAUAACUACUGGAAACGGUAGCUAAUACCGCAUAACGUCGCAAGACCAAAGAGGGGGACCUUAGGGCCUCUUGCCAUCGGAUGUGCCCAGAUGGGAUUAGCUAGUAGGUGGGGUAACGGCUCACCUAGGCGACGAUCCCUAGCUGGUCUGAGAGGAUGACCAGCCACACUGGAACUGAGACACGGUCCAGACUCCUACGGGAGGCAGCAGUGGCGAAUAUUGCACAAUGGGCGCAAGCCUGAUGCAGCCAUGCCGCGUGUAUGAAGAAGGCCUUCGGGUUGUAAAGUACUUUCAGCGGGGAGGAAGGGAGUAAAGUUAAUACCUUUGCUCAUUGACGUUACCCGCAGAAGAAGCACCGGCUAACUCCGUG